UUUGUUUUUUUUUUUAUUCACCAGCUACAUAAAAUAUAUCCAUACAAUUUCGAUAAUAAAACAACAGCUGAAUUAGCUAAAAUAAUCGCAUGAUUCAAAUAAUUAUCUUUAUAAUUAAUGCAAUCAAAACGGCCGGUAACGUUAUUAACCUUCUAUUAUCUCCGGGCCCACUUGGGCUGCGUUCAAAAACAUCACCCGUGUGCACACGAGCGUUGUUCUAUCUUUAUUCAACUUUUAGUAAAUAACGAAGAUAGAACGACGCUCGUGUGCACACGGUGAUGUUUCCGAACGCAGCCUUGAUAGUCACGAAAAUUUAUCCAGGGCGUGGAUCGUGGGUCUACUCAGGGCCAGCGGUUUUUAAUAGUAUUUCAGAGAUAAGGCAAAAGAUUCAAAUGAUUUUUUUGUAAUUUUUCAGGAUUAUUUUCUUUGAUUCGUUUAUUGCUACGCCAGCAUCCAUUAAUUUUAUUUUUAAAGAAUUUAUACACAAACGAAAUAUCCUCUUAAGCCAUGUAUCCACGAUACUAGAAUUCGGUUCGAGUUCUCGGACCGAGAAAUGUAUAGCCAAUCAAUUUGCAGCUUUUACGGAAAAGCGCCGAUACACUUCGAACCGAGAUCUCUGACCGAGUUCUAGCAUCGUGGAUACAAGGUUUGAAAAAAAAAUUUCAUAUCCAAGAUUUAGUAUGCAUCAAUAUAAUGUAUUAGUAUGUAACCGAAUUCGCGCUAAUCGUAAGAAAAAGUGUAUAUUUUAACGAAAUAAAUGUUAUAUACUUAAAAACAA